GAUUAGAUUUUUUUUGGCAAAAAAACAAUAAGCAUUUGAAUCCAUGAAAAUGACAACAUAUCUGUGUCGAAGAAAUGUUUGACUGCUAAUGUUACAUCAUUUUUUAUUACUGACCAAAAAUGCUGAUAGAAUAACACAAAAAAUCUAUCUAGUCCUGGAACUUUAUCAAAUUGCAUAUUGUGAAUAGCCUCUUCAAUCUC
rnacentral:lncRNA from 1 species